GACGAACGCUGGCGGCGUGCUUAACACAUGCAAGUCGAACGGUAAGGCUCCAGCUUGCUGGGGUACACGAGUGGCGAACGGGUGAGUAACACGUGGGUGACCUGCCCUGCACUUCGGGAUAAGCCUGGGAAACUGGGUCUAAUACCGGAUAGGACCGCACCGUGAGGGUGGGGGGGAAAGUUUUUUCGGUGUGGGAUGGGCCCGCGGCCUAUCAGCUUGUUGGUGGGGUAAUGGCCUACCAAGGCGGCGACGGGUAGCCGGCCUGAGAGGGUGGACGGCCACAUUGGGACUGAGACACGGCCCAGACUCCUACGGGAGGCAGCAGUGGGGAAUAUUGCACAAUGGGCGGAAGCCUGAUGCAGCGACGCCGCGUGGGGGAUGACGGCCUUCGGGUUGUAAACUCCUUUCACCAUCGACGAAGGGUGUCUGACGGUAGAUGGAGAAGAAGCACCGGCUAACUACGUG
rnacentral:rRNA from 1 species